CAGCCGCCACGGUAAUACGUAGGUGGCAAGCGUUGUCCGGAUUUAUUGGGCGUAAAGCGAGCGCAGGCGGUUCCUUAAGUCUAAUGUGAAAGCCCACGGCUCAACCGUGGAAGGUCAUUGGAAACUGGGGAACUUGAGUGCAGAAGAGGAGAGUGGAAUUCCAUGUGUAGCGGUGAAAUGCGUAGAUAUAUGGAGGAACACCAGUGGCGAAGGCGACUCUCUGGUCUGUAACUGACGCUGAGGCUCGAAAGCGUGGGGAGCAAACAGGAUUAGAUACCCCUGUAGUCCCUGUCUCUUAUAC
rnacentral:rRNA from 1 species